GACGAACGCUGGCGGCGUGCUUAACACAUGCAAGUCGAACGGAAAGGCCCUGCUUUUGCGGGGUGCUCGAGUGGCGAACGGGUGAGUAACACGUGAGUAACCUGCCCUUGACUUUGGGAUAACUUCAGGAAACUGGGGCUAAUACCGGAUAGGAGCUCCUGCUGCACGGUGGGGGUUGGAAAGUUUCGGCGGUUGGGGAUGGACUCGCGGCUUAUCAGCUUGUUGGUGGGGUAGUGGCUUACCAAGGCUUUGACGGGUAGCCGGCCUGAGAGGGUGACCGGGCACAUUGGGACUGAGGUACGGCCCAGUCUCCUACGGGAGGCAACAGUGGGGAAUAUUGCACAAUGGGCGGAAGCCUGAUGCAGCAACGCCGCGUGCGGGAUGACGGCCUUCGGGUUGUAAACCGCUUUCGCCUGUGACGAAGCGUGAGUGACGGUAAUGGGUAAAGAAGCACCGGCUAACUACGUG
rnacentral:rRNA from 1 species